GGCUUGGUGGUGGACGGUUCCACAUCUGCUUUCCUUGGGUUUAAUAGAUAGACAAUGUAAUGCAGACCCCGCCUGUUCGACUCAGGCCUGAGCCA